rnacentral:rRNA from 1 species
UGAAAUCUCACCAGGCCCGAUCACUGGAAGGAUUGACAGAUUGAUAGCUCUUUCUUGAUUCGGUGCGUGGUGGUGCAUGGCCGUUCUUAGUUGGUUGAGUGAUUUGUCUUGUUAAUUCCGAUAACGAACGAGACUCUGUCCUGCUAAAUAGUGUCUGCUUCUCUUUCGAGCAGACAAUUCUUCUUAGAGGGACUAUAUAUGUUAAGUAUAUGGAAGUUUGAGGCAAUAA